GUCCUCGCUCGGUCACUCCUCGCCCCUUGGUCCGAACACCUAAGACCUGAGGGGCAAUGGGGCCUAUCCCGAUAAAUUAGAAACGGGUUUAAAACAAAUACGGACGUGGUAUCCUCAACCGUAUCCCAUCCUAUUUUCGCAUAGCUAAAAAUACGGGACAAAUACAGAAAAGCGGGCGGGCGGGAACGGUAUUUUGUCCGUCCGUUUUCGUCCCUACAUCGUGCCUUUCUCCCCUUCGUGACGGUCCGCAGUCCCCUCCCGUCCACCGCCGGCGACCUGUACCUGCCGGCAAGCGGCGGCGGGUGGCGCAGGAGGAACCCGUAGUUGCGCCAAGCAAUAUUCGUGGUUGUGCUCGUGCUCCCACUCCUAGCCUCAGUCCCCUCCCUCCGCCUCCAUGCCCCGCGCCCUCCGGUGGCGGCCGGCGGCCGGGAUUGGGUAAGGUUCUCGAGGCUCCGAAAAUGACGCAGUGGCCACAGCGGUGACCGAUCGCGCCUUCGUCAAGCCCUGCAUACCCGACCACCACGCUGUCGUCCUCCUCGGGAGCUGCCUCAAAGUUCAAUGUUGCGGCUGGCGCCGCUGCCGUCUGGGAGCACGCCAUGGAGCUCCUUCAGAAGCUGAGCUUUCAGGUAUGUUUUGAUGGGCGUCAUUGUUGAUCUAUCCCCAAUAAAGGCUAUGCUUAGGACAAUUGACUUCAGGGUGUCUCUGUCAUUAUGAUGCGGUGUAGGCAUGCCGAAGAGUUGUUUUUCUGGGCCGUGCUUCAUGGUUUCUGGUGUUAGCUCACUGUCAAAUGACUAUGACAGAUGCCGAUCUUUUUUUUUUUUUUUUUGAAAGCUAGAUAGAUGCCAAUCUUUGCCGUCCGGUUUCUAUGAUAGAUGCCAAUCUUUGCUGUCCGGUGUAGAAAGCAGUGAAAAAGGCAGUCUAUCCUGUAUAGGAUGAUAGUGGGACAACAGUACCUAGAUAACAAUGAUGACUUGAUGAGUCAUUUUGCUGCAUUUUAACCAGUUGAAGGGUUGAAAAGGAGCAGGGGCAUAGCUUGGAGUGUCAUGGGGGUUCAAGUGAACACCCAAUUUUUUUCCCUAUCAAUCUACUAGUGGUAAUGCCCUGAUCAAAGUUACAGGCUAUUGUAUCACAUUUGCACCCCAGAUAGACCAAAAACGUUCUCAUCUUGUGUUUGAACCGCAAAAAAAAUUCUGGUAACCUCAGUGACGUGUUUGGAGGCGAGGAGAAUAAUACAAGGCUUUACGUCUUAAUUCUAAACCUGAAAGGCUACCUCGUUGGCUGUUUGGAGCUGAGAGACUCUUCUCAGUAACUUAAAAGGGAUUUUGAUAUCCAUGAAUCACUAAAUGAUCGUAGAAUACAGAAUGUAAUUGAGAAAAAGUGAGUGUAUUCCUUUAGCCCCAGAGAUCAUGGUUGCUAAGGAGUUUUUUACUGUGAACGAAUAAAAGAGCCAUUUCUUUGUGCCACAGCUAGAUUGUUAGAUGCCCAACAAGGACCUAUAAUUAAGUUUUACCAAAUCUACUUGAAUUGUUUUCCAUAUUUAUUUUGGUAUCAGCACUUAGGAUCGAUUAUCUAAGUUUCACAUGGAUAUCCUAUGAAAUGUAGCAUAUGAUUGAUCUAAGAUAAAGCGAAAUUAUUUGGAAAAGGGUCUAUAGUAAAUUAAUAUUUUGUUGAAAUAUUUGGUAACUCUGAAGCAUGUGUCAUGAUUUGGAUUUCUUUUUUCCCUUUAGCUUAAACCAUUUUCAGUUCCUAUUUUUUUUGCCCCUAAAAAAGGAAAUUGUUUGAGCAAUGAUAGCUCCUCUUUCAGGUGAUUUAGACAAUUUCAUGUAUCUUGCAGUAUAAGUUGAUUUUGCGUGGCAACUACUUGUCUGAGCAUUGAGCAAGCAGCACUGAUCAUAUAGAAGCACGCUGUGCUUACUCAAGUUAUUAACACUGUAGGUGGUACUUGCAAAAGAAGCCUAAAGUUACCAAAAGUGAAGUGUGCCAUCUCCCUGGGAUCACUGGCUGGAGCAGGUAGCAGAAGAAGAGUAAUGCCUUGGAAAAUAUAGUACAUCUGUCCCACAUAAGAUCCUUGACAGUGUUUGGAAGUGGAAACCAUUAUUGAUUUCUAAGGUGGGGUUGCUUCAAGUUCUGGAUUUAGAAAACACAUAUGGUCUGAAGAUUCUUCUUCCUGGAAACAUGUCAAAGCUCGAACACUGACAAGGCUGCCAUCAACCAUUCCAAAGCUUCCAUGCAGUACCCUCUGAUGAUUUUCAAGCUCUGAUCAAGCAAAAGGAACUCUUUGUGAAGAGAAGAGUUGUAAUUGAAGAUGCUGGUUGCAUUUCUGCCUUAUGGUCACUAUUUGGUUAAGACAGUUGAAUCUUUGUGGUAUUAAAGUGCCAAAAAGAGAUUGGGAGACUGAAGGCCCUGCUGCAUACCCAAUUGCACGAGCUAAGCUCAUGCUGAAGGAGAUCGAGAAGCUUACCCAAUUGUGGCCAGAUGUUAUUUGCAUUAACAGAAGUGCGUGAUUCCGAGGAACUUGAGUUUGCCAUCUUCAACUCAGACAAUACACUCGUUAUCAAUGUGUGCUGAGGUCAAGGAUGGGUUAGAUGGCUGUUUGGAUGGUAUGUCACCUCUGGAGCACAUUGAGAUCCUUCAGCUCUAUAGCUCUAGGGUCUAAGCAAGUUACCCAAAUAGUUUGUGAAGCACUCUAGUGAAUGUGGAGAACUUUGUCAGCAGUCUAGUCAUGUUGACAUAACAAUGCACUGAGUAAGAUGCUGUAGAAAUCAUCAGAAAACUACCAAAUCUGACCUCUAUUUUUCUCUGGACAGGCCAGUUAACUGUGAAGUAUACUCAUUCUCAUAGCAGGAAUUUGGUAAAUCUGCCGGUGCUGGAAAUUGGUGAGCUAUAUAAGGUCAAAUCUUCAAGUUAAGUUUGAAGAAUCGGCAAUGCCUCAGCCUAAACUUCUGACAGUUGGUGUUCUUCGUUUAUGGAAAUUCCACCACUUCUGUCAAGUCUAAACUGAUGGUACUUCCUUGCUAUGGACCGAGCUGCCACUGCCCUCACCGGAGUUGUGCGCUCCAGCCUCUUCAUCCCCCUCCUUGCCCUGCUCAUAGCUGGCCCCAGCGACCUGUGCUGUCUCCUCUGCUUCCUUGGAGUCCCU